GAUUUAAUGACUGAAAUUGAAUCAUUUGAUACCAUUAAUGGCAUAAAAAGUUUAUUCAAUGAGUACUGUCUUGUUCUUAUAAUGCGAUCUACUUUUGUCAAUACGAUUGCUGUAGAACUGAUUGGACCUACAUAUUUACAACAGUUUAACUAUUUUGUUUCCUUUUUACAGUCCCAAUAUUAUUGCAAUUCGGUAGCAAAGAUGUUGACACCACAUGUCGUCUGAUGAUGAGUUUUACAGGAGCGAAUAAGGUUUGGUCAUUGUAUUCCCUGAAAGGAACAAGAGGAGAAAAGAAACUGGAAGACCUGCAUGCCUAUCCGCAGGCCAAUGCUGGCUGCAGGUCAAUAUUGAAUGCUCUUAUGAAAACUCAUAAGACAAUAACAAAAAAAAAAGAAGCUGAGGAUGCUGUUUUUAAAACAUGUUCCAUUCAAAAAUGGUAGAUUGAAAUUUAAGAAAGGUGUGACGGGUGCGGCUACUGCAGGCAGGGAGGAUUUGACGGUCAGCCAGAGGAUUUGGAGAUAUACUGUAAUGUCUUUAAUGUGGACUUGCGUGUGAUUUAAGUUUUCACAAGGGUUUUAGUGUGUGUGAAAGUAUGUCAGUUUUCAAAAUUGAGCUAUGACAAUUUGCUCAAACUACAUAACUCAAAGAACUUUGAAGCGGUCUUGUUGACGUCAUGAGCUUUUGUUUAAUACCAGUAUUGGUGAUAUAGGCCCAUGAUUAUAUACUGUAGAAAGUAAACAAGUUCACUGCUCGAUACAGAUAAUCAUAUGGCCUGAUCUCUGAAUGAUAUUUAUGAACCAAAAGAAGGCAUAAAAUAAAAACAUACUGUAGUGAUUUAAAUUAUUGAUAUUGUUAAACUAGAUCUGGGCCUGUAUUCAUAAAGGAUCUUAGUAAAAAAAAUAUCUAUAACUUAAUAUUCUUCAAUUAACUCAAAAACUUUUCACGCUCUUUAAAUAUUUCACAGCAUGACUACAAACUUGUAUAUUAUACCAAAGAAAAAUAGAUUGGCAACUUGAAAGGGGUAUAGAGCAAAUCUCGCCAACAUCACAUGGCAACUGAAUGAGAUCUCGUUUUAGUAAGCAUAUUUGAUCACAAUUGAUCGUCAGCAAAUGCUUUGAAAUAAGAAAACUUGAUCGUUUGUGUAUAAUGCUAAUGGUACUUUUUUAAUAAUGUUAUCAGUAUUUUCUACACAGGAAAACAAUGAAUUUUUGAUUGGAAGUCUGAGAAAUCAACAGUUGUUGUAAAAUGGGCUCGAUUCGGUUUAUUACAAGCCAGUGUAACAUUAAAUACUGACCACGUUGAAAAUUGACCCCAUAGAUCCUUUUCAACGUUGAGAAUUGACCCCGUCAACAUUUCAACAUCAAAUUUUGAUCAAAGGGUCAUUUUUCAACGUUCAGAAUUGACCCCGUCAACAUUUCAACAUUAAAUUUUGAUCAAAAGAUCCUUUUGCAGCGUUGAGAAAUGGCCCCACCAACAUUUCAACAUUAAAUUUUGAUCAAUGGGGUCAAUAUCUAAUGUUACACCGGCUGUACUGCCAGUUUAAUACUUCAGUAAGCAUCUGUUGAUUUGAUCACGACUGAAAUAAUAUAACGUGAAAUAAUAUAACGCGCUAACACGAGCUGAUGCAAGACUCUCCAGUUGCCAUAUUACUGUCAAAUCGCCGAAUAGUGGAGCGCGCUGUCUUACAGACAGCUCUUUUUGUUGAGACCCCUUAGAGAAUUUCAAAUUUGUUGUCGCAAAUCUUCACUCUGAUGUGUUGCACACAAGUCGCAUCCAUAUAACCAUGGUCAAGGUCACACUUUGGUCAAAGGUCAAAAGUUGAGUUGAUUCUAACACAUUCUUUGUUUAUUCUUUUACUAUUUUUUAUCAGAAAAUCAAAUUAUUGAUCGUCUGCGUUACUUAAAUUUUGUUUUUCUCAAAAACUGUCAAAGGUAACCAUUUGAAACUUGUUCACUUUUACACAUUUUAUUCAUUGCAAUGCAG